rnacentral:rRNA from 1 species
AUGGGAGGUGAUCAAAGUAGAGAUGCGUAUUGGGGGCGAAUGAAAGAAUACUUUGAUGAUCACAACAUGAGUGGAAUUGACCGCUCGGAUAGAUCACUUCGGUCCCGAUGGUCUACAAUCAACUCAGAUUGUCAAAAGUGGGAGGCCGCACAAAAGUCAGUUGACAAGAUUAACCCAAGUGGCACAAAUGAGGAUGAUAGAGUAAGUGGCAUCUCAUAUAUGUUCAUCUCACACUUGUUUUUGGUGUCCAAAGUGCUAACUUGUUUUGUUUUUCUUGUAGUUCAACAUUGCACAAAACUUGUUCAAAGAAGAGACGAGGAAAACCAAGAAGGGGAAGAUCAAGAAAGGAAGGUAUUGUGA